rnacentral:lncRNA from 1 species
GUUUGAUUGUUCUCAUGUAAAUUUUUUUUUUUUUUUAACAGACCGGGUUUUAAUCACUGGAAGGCAGGAGAACAACUUUGGGUCAUUUGGGUACGCAGACUGGGAAUUCCAAGAUGCCUUAGUAUCAGGCGAAACAUAAGGGCUUCAACUUGGCUCACUCAGGGUGUAUAGUUUUCAUUGAUUCUCAAGAAAGUCCGUGAUUAAGUAUCCCUGCCCAAAGGUGAGGAUGCAUUUUCAGCUUGUCUCCUGCGCCUCCUCCAUUUCUCCCCGAAUUGGAGGCUCUCCCUCAGGUCUGGCUUUGUGUCUUGUUCUUGGGGUCACAUGUGUUCCAGUUUGUGGAAAAUGGUGUUCCAGGCUGUGUUUCCAGCAAGCUGUGGCAAGAAUCAGCCUUUUAGACCGAAGGGGUACAAGGACAAAAGAAGAAGGAAAAGGUAAGGGAGGGGCAUUUACACUCUUGGAAUCUGCUUAGCUUCCCCUGUGAGGGAGUCAUUGCUUCCAUGCGGUGUCAUGGCGGAGCUCCUUAAAGCGGAGCGCCUCAUGGGAAAUCUGACCCCUUCUCCCACGUCGCUUGCUCAAUGCCACACUGCUAGUCAGGGUCACAGUUCAGACCGUACAGCUCAAGCUAAUACCCGGGACGGAUGCUCAACAAGCGAGAGUUGUUUGGAUUUUUAAAAAUUCCUUUCUUAGUAAAAACAC